rnacentral:rRNA from 1 species
UACGGAGGGUGCGAGCGUUGUCCGGAAUCACUGGGCGUAAAGGGCGCGUAGGCGGCUCGAUAAGCGUGUGGUGAAAGCCUGGGGCUCAACCCCGGGUCGGCCAUGCGAACUGUCGAGCUGGAGCACUGUAGAGGCAGGCGGAAUUCCGGGUGUAGCGGUGGAAUGCGUAGAGAUCCGGAAGAACACCGGUGGCGAAGGCGGCCUGCUGGGCAGUAGCUGACGCUGAGGCGCGACAGCGUGGGGA